GAGUUUGAUCCUGGCUCAGGAUGAACGCUAGCGGCAGGCCUAAUACAUGCAAGUCGAACGGUAACAUUGGUGCUUGCACCAGAUGACGAGUGGCGCACGGGUGCGUAACGCGUAUGCAAUCUACCUUUUACUAGAGUAUAGCCCAGAGAAAUUUGGAUUAAUCCUCUAUAAUAUCUUUAAGUUUCAUGACUUUUAGAUUAAAGUUUUAACGGCUAGAGAUGAGCAUGCGUCCUAUUAGUUUGUUGGUGAGGUAACGGCUCACCAAGACUACGAUAGGUAGGGGGCCUGAGAGGGUGAUCCCCCACACUGGUACUGAGACACGGACCAGACUCCUACGGGAGGCAGCAGUGAGGAAUAUUGGACAAGGGGCGCAAGCCUGAUCCAGCCAUGCCGCGUGCAGGAUGACUGCCCUAUGGGUUGUAAACUGCUUUUAUACAGGAAGAAACACCUCUACGUGUAGAGGCUUGACGGUACUGUAAGAAUAAGGAUCGGCUAACUCCGUGCCAGCAGCCGCGGUAAUACGGAGGAUCCAAGCGUUAUCCGGAAUCAUUGGGUUUAAAGGGUCCGUAGGUGGAUAAUUAAGUCAGAGGUGAAAUCUUGCAGCUCAACUGUAAAAUUGCCUUUGAUACUGGUUAUCUUGAGUUAUUAUGAAGUAGUUAGAAUAUGUAGUGUAGCGGUGAAAUGCAUAGAUAUUACAUAGAAUACCAAUUGCGAAGGCAGAUUACUAAUAAUAUACUGACACUGAUGGACGAAAGCGUGGGUAGCGAACAGGAUUAGAUACCCUGGUAGUCCACGCCGUAAACGAUGGAUACUAGCUGUUCGGAUUUAUCUGAGUGGCUAAGCGAAAGUGAUAAGUAUCCCACCUGGGGAGUACGUUCGCAAGAAUGAAACUCAAAGGAAUUGACGGGGGCCCGCACAAGCGGUGGAGCAUGUGGUUUAAUUCGAUGAUACGCGAGGAACCUUACCAGGGCUUAAAUGUAGAUUGACAGGACUAGAGAUAGUUUUUCCUUCGGGCAAUUUACAAGGUGCUGCAUGGUUGUCGUCAGCUCGUGCCGUGAGGUGUCGGGUUAAGUCCCAUAACGAGCGCAACCCCUAUCCUUAGUUGCCAGCGAGUAAUGUCGGGGACUCUAAGGAAACUGCCGGCGUAAGCCGAGAGGAAGGUGGGGAUGACGUCAAAUCAUCACGGCCCUUACGCCCUGGGCUACACACGUGCUACAAUGGUCGGUACAGAGGGCAGCAACCUAGUGAUAGGAAGCGAAUCUCCAAAACCGAUCUCAGUUCGGAUCGAAGUCUGCAACUCGACUUCGUGAAGCUGGAAUCGCUAGUAAUCGCGCAUCAGCCAUGGCGCGGUGAAUACGUUCCCGGGCCUUGUACACACCGCCCGUCAAGCCAUGGAAGUUGGGGGUACCUGAAGUCGGUAACCGCAAGGAGCCGCCUAGGGUAAAUCUAGUAACUAGGGCUAAGUCGUAACAAGGUAACC
rnacentral:rRNA from 1 species